GCAUGGGGCUUGAACUCAUGACCCUGAGAUCAAGACCAGAGCUUCUUAAGGAUGGUACUUCCUAUCACAGGACCUCCCUCUGGGCAUCUGCUGAAUGUACUAGAGAAGGGUAUACAGUGUUAAGAAGAUGCUCAGGCUAUUAGAAUCCAGGCCUUGGGAGUCCGGCUCUGGCAAAGUCACCAGCACUCCAAGCCUCAGGCUAAAAAGAAGCCAUAAAAAUAGCCAAACGGACAAACGAAGGCAAGUGCAUCUGAGCCGCUGUGGUUUUACCAGGAUGUCAGUGUUCUACAGACGAUUAGGCCCAGAAGCAAUUCAAAUGAGCUCUGUCGGGUGGAUCUCAAACUGGCAGGCAACAGGUAACAACAAAGAAACCCCCUCAGGUUUAAUGAGGGCUGGACAGAGAAUGAAGUGACCAAAACCGAAGGUUGCUCUUGAGUCUGGCUUUACUUAAUGUCGUUAGCUAUCUUUUGGGGAAAAGCCAUUAAUUUCCAUCUUCUGGGAACAGCACAUUACUACACUCUCAAGCUAUCGGGGGAAGGGAAGACUCGCCUGGGUUCUCCUGCAGGACUCCGGGACCAGACAGGCCCGUACUAUUCAAUCUGCUUAUCCAAGCCCGUCAUCCAAAAGGAAGAAUCCACAGAGACACAGUAAACCGUAAAACCACACAGCUGCAGGGCCCUGAUUCUCAGAAUGAACGGUGACUGAGGGGAUGGGCUGGGAGCUAGACCAGAGGGGAAUCUGCAGUGCCUACACUGUAACCAUGGGCAAGUUAGCCCCACAGAGUCUCGGAGUCCCAGGACAGUAAAUGAACCUAAGGAUAUCACGAUCUAGCAAACACGGGAUGCCGAAGAAAGUGUUUCUCGUUCUUCGUGCAGGCAAGGCCCAGGGAUUUUAAGGGACUCUAAAAAGAGGGCAUGAAGCAGAAAUCACCAUCUUAAUUAUUUUACAGGAAUUAAAAUAAAUGUUAAGGGAAAAAUGAUGGCUGACGUUUCUCUGACUGAGGUCUGUAUUACACUAAUAUAUUUAAUUAUCAAGCCCCCCGCGCUGUGCCAGCUCCUGUGCCAGGCAGUAGCCUCUGGCCCCUGGAGGCUCUAGACUUGAAUUUGUGGGGGAGAAUAGCAGAGGGGCACCUGAGCCAGGACUGGAUGUCGCAGAAGGCUUCCUGGAGAAAGUGAAAUUUAAGCAAGAAGCUGGAACAUGCCUGCAUAUCGGGUAGCCGAAGUAGCUGCCCAGAGAAGCUGGAUGGGUAUUUUAGUGCGAGAGAGAAGCACAUACAAAGGGCCAGCUGACAAAAGUAGAAGGAGAGAGGAGAGAAUGAAGGGAGAUACAGCAAGGUAAUAAAGCAGGAGCCCGAAAGGGAGAUCUGGUCCGGGGUUUGAGUUUUAGGAGCAUUUUGCAGUGCAGAAGCAGCACCCUGGCCACAGGCACAGGGUGGUGAACGGAGCCUGAGACAGGCAGUCUGUGGACAGGAAGGUGUGUUUCAGGAGAUGAGAGAACCCCGCUAGCGUGCCAGAAAGGGGAUGGAGAGACGAGGACGGAGUUACGCGAGAGAAGCCACAGAAGUAAUAAACAGACUUGAGUAGGAGAGGAAAGGAGUUUGACCUUCUUCUUACUGUUCAGGGAAGACACACUAGGGGUUUCUCUAAGACCUUCGGGAACAGGAAAGGGGCAGGGGUGCUAUUCCUGUUUCAUAGGUGAGCAAGUUUAGGGAGU